CUGCUAAGAGAGCCGGCACGGAGACUGCUGGGAGGAGCCGCGCGGAGAUCAUAUACAGGUACUGGAGACAUCACUGCAUUAACCGGAGAGUCCAUGACGGCACCGUGCAGCAGACGCCCGGACCGUAGGGGUCUGCUUAUCCAGGUCUGCCAUCCGGUGAAGUACCGAGGUGAACGAUAAGUCCUGGCUCACCUUGUGGCUGCAGUGUCAUGCAAGAAAUGGGUGCUGCCUGUAGUAUAAUGAUAUUAUAAUACUUAAACAAAAGCAGCGUCUAUAGCAGCAAUGAAAAGAAAAUAUCUUUGAUCUGUGGAUAUUGUUGUUCACAUCCGGAGCUUUCAUACAAUUAC